UGGGGGAUAUUGCACAAUGGGCGAAAGCCUGAUGCAGCGACGCCGCGUGGGGGAUGAAGGCUUUCGGGUUGUAAACCUCUUUCGCUAUCGAACAAGGCCCGCUUAGGGUGGGUUGAGGGUAGGUGGAGAAGAAGCGCCGGCUAACUACGUGCCAGCAGCCGCGGUAAUACGUAGGGCGCGAGCGUUGUCCGGAAUUAUUGGGCGUAAAGGUGUUGUAGGUGGCUUGUUGCGCCUGCUGUGAAAACGCGGGGCUUAACUUCGCGCGUGCAGUGGGUAAGGGAAGGCUUGAGUGUGGUAGGGGUGACUGGAAUUCCAGGUGUAGCGGUGGAAUGCGCAGAUAUCUGGAGGAACACCGAUGGCGAAGGCAGGUCACUGGGCCAUUACUGACGCUGAGGAGCGAAAGCAUGGGUAGCGAACAGG
rnacentral:rRNA from 1 species